CCCUCAUUUCUUGCCUCUCUUUUCUUUUGCUUCAGACUGUGGUUGUAGGUUCCUACCUCAUCGCCCAAGGAUUCUUCAGUGUCUACAAUAUGUGUGUUGACACGCUGUUCCUCUGUUUCUUGGAAGACCUGGAGCGCAAUGAUGGUUCCCAGGAGAAGCCGUAUUACAUGUCCAAGUCUCUUAUGAAGAUCCUGAACAAGAAAAACAAGAAGGCCAAGGACAAAUAGGAAAACCCGGGACUGGAGGAAACUCCUCAACUUAUGUUAUUGGUCCCCAUCAUUUCUUCUUCAUUUUUUUUUUGCAUCCAUAUCAGAGAUAACUUAAUGUUCUUCCCUUCCCCUUCACACAAUGUUGUGUGGACUUCCACAAGAUGACUUGAAACUCUUCCUCAUAUUUUUUUCCCCCAUAUUGCCAACCCACCCAUAUUGCUGUUUAUUGUGCAGAUUGUCUAUUUAUGAAUAAUUGAUCUAUUUAAUUUCUCUCCUGUGCCAUGGGCCUCUUUUUGGAAUCCUUCUUUUGAUCUCCGUCUUCCAAAAAUGUUUUUUUUUGGCCACCGCUCUGCUUCCUUGGUCUGGGAUCAUUUAACCGAUCACAGCUGUCCUGCACUCGUUCUGGUCAACUGUCUUUUCAGAUGGGUCAAAAUCAGGGCUCUUUUCGUAGUCUUUGGUUGUCCACUUGCUCCAUUUGUAAAAUACAACCUUUUUAUAGCUACGUUCCUGGCCCAAAACAGGCAGUGUGGUGAACCACAAUAAAGCUCCUUCUUAAAUCGUGUCAUGCAGAAGCAAAUCUUCUCCUGGUGCCAUCAACAAUCUCAGAAAAAUCUUGCUUCCCUGGCAUGUUGAGUGGAUGCCCUCUGAAAAGAGUGCCUUGGGCCAGGUGCCCAGAUGUUCUCCAGAUGUUUUGAAUGUGAACUUCCGAGCUGGAGUCAGAACCCAAAUCAUUUUGAUUGCUCGGUCUAUCCUUCUUCAGCUUCGAUGACUGUUAGCACAUGGUUGGCCUUUUCAGAGAUACUUGGGUUAUUUUCUAAAGGGCUGUUCCUACCUUCUCUCUCUGCUUUAUAUUUUUAUCCUUGACUGUUUUUAGAGAUUAAACCUGGCGUGUUGUUGAAUUCCUGUUCCUGACUCCUUCCCCAGCCAAAGACUUUUCUGAAACUGGUAAUUAUUCCAAGGUGCCAUCUUGUAUUUCAGAUCAAAUUGUUCUUUUUCCUCCUGAGCCAAUUCUCUUUCUGAAUGUUUUACCGGUUGAAUUGUUCAAUAUUGCACUGGCCAAGCACCAAAUGACAAAUGGUUUUCGGUACGCUGAAUGUCGGCCAUCUUAUUUCCUAAGUGCCUUUGUGGAUAAACUCCAUUUCUGAUAUUGUAGUGCCAACAUUUGGCCCAAGUUUUUGAUUUACCAAGCCAGCUUAAUUCACGCCAAAUCCGUCACCUCUAUUUUUGCUUUAUUUCCCUCACUUUUUUUUCUCCGCAAUGGUCUUCCUCUCUUUUUUCUUUCCAGGGUAUCUCUUGCCAUUAAAAAAUAAAAAUCAUAUUGUGGCAAGAUGCAAAACACCAACUCUGUUCUUCGGAUCAAUUUAUAUCUUAUGCAACGGUGCCGUUGCAGGCAUUUCCUGUACAUAGCUUUUUCUCUGAUGUAUAAAAAUUGAAAAAAUGUUUUAUAUAAAGAAUAUGUGUAUAUUAAAUAUGAUUUUAAAAUAA